GAUGAAGAACGUAGCGAAAUGCGAUAAGUAGUGUGAAUUGCAGAAUUCAGUGAAUCAUCGAAUCUUUGAACGCACAUUGCGCCCCUUGGUAUUCCAUGGGGCAUGCCUGUUCGAGCGUCAUUUGUACCUUCAAGCUCUGCUUGGUGUUGGGUGUUUGUCUCGCCUCUGCGUGUAGACUCGCCUCAAAACAAUUGGCAGCCGGCGUAUUGAUUUCGGAGUGCAGUACAUCUCGCGCUUUGCACUCAUAACGACGACGUCCAAAAGUACAUUUUUACACUCUUGACCUCGGAUCAGGUAGGGAUACCCGCUGAACUUAAGCAUAUCAAUAAGCGGAGGA
rnacentral:misc_RNA from 1 species